UACAGAGGGUGCAAGCGUUAAUCGGAAUUACUGGGCGUAAAGGGCUCGUAGGCGGCCAACUAAGUCGGACGUGAAAUCCCUCGGCUUAACCGGGGAACUGCGUCCGAUACUGGAGGGCUUGAGUGUGGGAGAGGGAUGCGGAAUUCCAGGUGUAGCGGUGAAAUGCGUAGAGAUCGGAGGAACCCCAGAGGCGAAGGCGGCGCCCUGGCUCGCAACUGACGCUCAGACACGACAGCAUGGGAGCGAACGGG
rnacentral:rRNA from 1 species